UUGCUGGGUGGAUUAGUGGCGAACGGGUGAGUAACACGUGAGUAACCUGCCCCUGACUCUGGGAUAAGCGUUGGAAACKACGUCUAAUACUGGAUAUGAUCACUGGCCGCAUGGUCUGGUGGUGGAAAGAUUUUUUGGUUGGSGAUGGACUCSCGGCCUAUCACCUUGUUGGUGAGGUAAUGGCUCACCAAGGCSACSACGGGUAGCCGGCCUGAGAGGGUGACCGGYCACACUGGGACUGAGACACGGCCCAAACUCCUACGGGAGGCAGCAGUGGGGAAUAUUGCACAAUGGGCGAAAGCCUGAUGCAGCAACGCCGCGUGAGGGAUGACGGCCUUCGGGUUGUAAACCUCUUUUAGUARGGAAGAAGCGAAAGUGACGGUACCUGCAGAAAAAGCCCCGGCUAACUACUUGCCAUCUKCCSCGGGAAUACGUACGGUGCAAGCGUUGUCCUGAAUUAUUGGGCGUAAAGAGCUCGUACGCGGUUUGUCCCGUCUGCUGUGAAAUCCCGAGGCUCAACCUCGGGCUUGCAGUGGGUACGGGCAGACUACACUGCGGGAUGGGAGAUUGSAAUUCCUG
rnacentral:rRNA from 1 species